rnacentral:rRNA from 1 species
AAAGGGCGCGUAGGCGGCGUUUUAAGUCGGGGGUGAAAGCCUGUGGCUCAACCACAGAAUGGCCUUCGAUACUGGGACGCUUGAGUAUGGUAGAGGUUGGUGGAACUGCGAGUGUAGAGGUGAAAUUCGUAGAUAUUCGCAAGAACACCGGUGGCGAAGGCGGCCAACUGGACCAUUACUGACGCUGAGGCGCGAAAGCGUGGGGAGCAAACAGGAUUAGAUACCCCAGU